AACCUGUUGCUAAACUGAAGAUGCUAUUUGUCUUGUCAUGCUUUUUGUCUUCUCAUGUGCUGAAAUUAAGUGGAGCAUUAGAUGCAAAUCUAUUGGUGUUGUUAAACUACUGGCAGACUAGCUACAAGCUAGAGGGAGAGCAAGGGACUGAAACCUGGCAACAGAACUACUGAUGUAAUAUGCAAAGAACAAAUUGAAACCAUGUUCUUCAGAAUUGAAGGGUCUGAUUGAUAUCGGUCUUUAUUUUGACAGAUAUAAUAUGUAUCCUUGCUUGUUAUUUUCCUCUUUAGCAAAUUGUAGACAUGAAUCUCUAGUUGACCUAUUGCUUCGUACACCUAUAUCGGUUCUAUUACAUAUUUUUGAACUUGCUGCAAAUUCUAUUAUAUGUGAGGUCCUUCUAUUGCUGCAAGCAUUGACACAAUAUGCUGUGCGCAGGGAUCUCUGCAUCCGAGUCCCAGCCGUCCUCAGCAGCAAGGAGCUGGGCCAAGGGAGCAAGCAGUGUCGCUGGUUCCUUCGAGGAUGCGUGCUGCUGGUCGAGUCUUGUGGAGAAGCAAGGCGAAUCAGGCAUCAUCUCACUUGUGCCGCUGUGGGUGACAGAGGGAGCCAUGUUGCUGUUUUGUUUGUUCCCAGCCUUGACUAUGGUCGUCCAGCGAGUCCGGCAUGUCGUCAUUUUUUUGUAAAGCAGUAUUGUAUCACACUUGUAGAGCUUGUUACACAUGUAGAGCUUGUAAAGUAUUGUAUUACACAUGGUCAUAUGUAUUGGCAAUGUGAUCUGGUUGCUCU